rnacentral:rRNA from 1 species
AUUGAACGCUGGCGGCAGGCCUAACACAUGCAAGUCGAACGAGUGGCGGACGGGUGAGUAAUGUCUGGGAAACUGCCCGGUGGAGGGGGAUAACUACUGGAAACGGUAGCUAAUACCGCAUACCAUCGGAUGUGCCCAGAUGGGAUUAGCUAGUAGGUGGGGUAACGGCUCACCUAGGCGACGAUCCCUAGCUGGUCCGAGGGGAUGACCGGCGACACGGGACCUGAGAGACGGUCCAGGUCCUUAGGGGAGGCAGCAGUGGGGAAUGUUGGCAAAUGGGGGCAAGCGUGCUGCAGCCAUGACGCGUGUAUGAAGAAGGCCUUCGGGUUGGAAAGUGCUUUCAGCGAGGAGGCGUUACUCGCAGAAGAAGCACCGGCUAAUUCCGUGCCAGCAGCCGCGGUAAUA